rnacentral:lncRNA from 1 species
CCAGUCCCAUCAAGAGUUUAUGAGAGGAGAGAGGAUUCCCUUGUACAACUGGUGAGCACAGGGUGGACACUAAGUGCUCUCUUUUAGUCUCCUGGUCUGCGUGAAUGUUCACAGCCCCAGAAAGAAUUCCAAAAGAGCAAAUAUGACCUUAGAAACUUCUCUAGCUCAUGGUGGCCACAGAAACUGUCAUAAUUCUUCCAAGGGAAGUCCCAUCCCUGAAGUCCAUUCUCUGUCAGUGGUUUCUAUUAUCCCACCCCACAUUCUGCUGACUGAUGAACUUCCCAGGACAGUAUUC